GAUGAACGCUGGCGGCGUGCCUAAUACAUGCAAGUCGAGCGAACGGACGAGAAGCUUGCUUCUCUGAUGUUAGCGGCGGACGGGUGAGUAACACGUGGAUAACCUACCUAUAAGACUGGGAUAACUUCGGGAAACCGUAGCUAAUACCGGAUAAUAUUUUGAACCGCAUGGUUCAAAAGUGAAAGACGGUCUUGCUGUCACUUAUAGAUGGAUCCGCGCUGCAUUAGCUAGUUGGUAAGGUAACGGCUUACCAAGGCAACGAUGCAUAGCCGACCUGAGAGGGUGAUCGGCCACACUGGAACUGAGACACGGUCCAGACUCCUACGGGAGGCAGCAGUAGGGAAUCUUCCGCAAUGGGCGAAAGCCUGACGGAGCAACGCCGCGUGAGUGAUGAAGGUCUUCGGACCGUAAAACUCUGUCAUUAGGGAAGAACAUAUGUGUAAGUAACUGUGCACAUCUUGACGGUACCUAAUCAGAAAGCCACGGCUAACUACGUG
rnacentral:rRNA from 1 species